UACCCGCUGAGUUUAAGCACAUCAAUAAGCGGAGGAAAAGAAACU
rnacentral:rRNA from 1 species